rnacentral:misc_RNA from 1 species
GAUGAAGAACGCAGCGAACUGCGAUAAGUAAUGUGAAUUGCAGAAUUCAGUGAAUCAUCGAGUCUUUGAACGCACAUUGCGCCCCCUGGCAUUCCGGGGGGCAUGCCUGUCCGAGCGUCAUUGCUGCCCUUCAAGCCCGGCUUGUGUGUUGGGUCGUCAUCCCCCCCGGGGGACGGGCCCGAAAGGCAGCGGCGGCACCGCGUCCGGUCCUCGAGCGUAUGGGGCUUUGUCACCCGCUCGAUUAGGGCCGGCCGGGCGCCAGCCGGCGUCUCCAACCUUCUAUUUUACCAGGUUGACCUCGGAUCAGGUAGGGAUACCCGCUGAACUUAAGCAUAUCAAUAAGCGGAGGA